rnacentral:lncRNA from 1 species
GGACUGCUCUUUUACAUGUUGAUGUCCCAGAUAAGAUCAUUAGGAGAGACACACCUGAUGAUAGCUUUGCUGCCAAAUCUGCUUGGUAGUUAGUUCGAUCAGAAAGAUAGAUUCGGGAUUCAUACAGGCUGAUAUGGAGCAUUAUCAUACCUGGUUUGUUCGAUUUCAAUUGAUGUGAUUGUCCAGAUAAGAAUUGGUAGCCACAUGGCUUCUCAAUGCUAGUGUUGUUUGUAGAUUGAGACUAUCUCGCACACCUUCACAAAAAGUUCUAUCGUUGGCCUAUAUUCAGCGCUUCGAUGAUAUAUUUCUGAUGACUAUGAGGUCAGGUAAGAGAGUCAGACAUCGAUUCUAGAGAUGGAGAUAUUCUGGUCAACGCGUUCGUUAUUGUAACAUUCAGAUUAUCAUUUAGCUAUUAAUUUUCUGGUCUAUAUAGAUUGAGAGGAAUGAUGGGAAACACAUGGAUAUCCUUGUGGGCCUAGAAGGAUUAUCUGGAGAGUCUACUACAUGAUUUCAUUUUUUCAUACAAGUUGGUUUUUCGAACUAUACCUGGCAGGAAAAUUUAGCUCUUACCCCCCUAUUCGAUAUGUAUAUGACCUUACCUCCCUUAUCAUUCCCUCUAUUGGUUCUUUAAUGCACUCCAUUCAUGGGAUCUUAUAAAAUCAAUACUAGUGGAUGCUUUAAUGAUGUAUUUACUAAUGGUAGAGGUAUUAACUAGACGAAGUUGGACAAUGUAUCAGGGAAUUCUCCUUUCCCUAUGGUUCUUGCUUUAUUUUGGAGGCUGAGCUUCAAGCCAUAUUGGAUGGAAUUCUUCUAGCCAGAUGACUUGGGAUUUUAGAUAUUUGGGUUUAGGCUAUCUCCUAUGGCUAUUCACUAUAUUACUAGGGGUGAAGGACCAUAGGCAAUUCACUGUACUCUCAGACAUAUUAGACACAUCUUUAAUUUGAUCAUGACACUAUUUUCCAUAUCUACCAUGAUGAGAACUAGGUUGCAGAUUCACUUGUCUCAACAGGGCUAGGACAACCAUCACUACCAGAAGUAUGGAUCAUAUGACCUUUCUCAACGGCUCAGGGCACUUGUGCAGAUUGAUAGAUAUUGGUUGCUUAGUUUAGAGGUUUCUAGUUUAAGACUCACUUACUAUCAUUGUACUGAGAAUAGUACUCCUCAUUUACUGUUUUCUUACUGCUUUUACUACAUUGUUGAAUUGUUGAUUUAUGGAGAUC